rnacentral:rRNA from 1 species
CUACGGGGGGCUGCAGUGAGGAAUAUUGCACAAUGGGGGGAACCCUGAUGCAGCAACGCCGCGUGGAGGAUGACGCAUUUCGGUGUGUAAACUCCUUUUAUAUGUCAAGAAAAUGGCGGUAGCAUGUGAAUAAGCACCGGCUAACUCCGUGCCAGCAGCCGCGGUAAUACGGAGGGUGCAAGCGUUACUCGGAAUCACUGGGCGUAAAGGACGCGUAGGCGGGUUGGAAAGUCAGGUGUGAAAUCCUACAGCUUAACUGUAGAACUGCACUUGAAACUUCUAAUCUAGAGUAUGGGAGGGGGAGAUGGAAUUAGUGGUGUAGGGGUAAAAUCCGUAGAUAUCACUAGGAAUACCUAAAGCGAAGGCGAUCUCCUGGAACAUUACUGACGCUAAGGCGUGAAAGCGUGGGGAGCAAACAGGAUUAGAUACCCUAGUAGUC